GUCGCUAGAUGUGUCUUAUAUGCUUAGGCAUCUGUCAAAAUUCAUUGUGCGUGUAGUUUUUAAAUUUAAGGAACUUUUUUCGUGUGCGAUAUUUCACUAAUACUUUAUAAGUGUUCAUAUAUUUUUUUUAGGUUGUUCUGAACUUGAAUUUGAAAGUCACUUCAUUUUUCAUCAUCUAUGUUCCGUACUUUAACAUCUGUUUGAGACUGUUGGAUUAGUAAUGUUACAGUGACAAAGCUCCAAGGGAUAAGAAGGAUCUGGUGAAAAUUUAAUGAGUCCUGUACGGAGGAAAGCAGAUUGAUCUCUGGGUACGAGCAAUGAUGAAGUUGUUUCCACGGCAUAGCCACUGGAUGGGCAAGGAAAGCCUUCUCCGCUGGAUGAGGAGAACGACCCGGAGAUGAG